UAAAAAUAUUUAAGAAAUUUCAUAUUAUGAUAUCCAUGCGUACAAGUAUCUCAUUUCUUGGAACUUACAGCUUCCACGUAUCUUUGCUUUUUUCUUCUCUUCAUUACUUUCAGUUCAUUGCUCGCUAUUUGGAAUUGUGACAAGGGAACACAAAUCUCAACUUACAUUCCAACAACAUAGCAGAUCAGACGACAACAGGAGUAGUUGAUAGGUGAAUGAAUUGAAGAUUAAGAGCUUUCCUGUUUUUGGGUUUGUUUCACUCUCAAGCAGCUUCAAAUCGAGGAGAAUAUUCAGAAAGGGAAAGAAAAUGUGAGGGGAAGACUAAGAAGAUAAGAAAUCCAAAAAUGGAGCACCAACUCUGCUGAAGAAUAAGAGCUUUCCUCAUCCUUAGUAAAUAUAUUUCAUAUCAGAUCAGCUGCUUCAAAUCGAAGGGAAAGAAAAUGUGAGGGGAAGACCAAGAAGAUAAGAAAUCGCAAAAUGGACUACUAACUCUGUUGAAGAAUAACACCUUUCCUCAUUCAAGGUAAUAACAUUCUAAAUAUUCUUACAACUAUUUUCUUUUCCUUCAUCUUCUGCUCUACUUUUGUUUUAUUAAUUAAAUUCACUUCACUACAUGUUUUAUAGUAUGUUGUUUACACUAUUAUACAUGUUUCUUUGUAUUUGGUGAAUAAUUAUAUGUCUUUGUUUAUCAUUUGUAUAAAUUUAUCAUGAUUGAUUUUCCAAA